rnacentral:tRNA from 1 species
UCCCUGUUGGCUCAGUGGUAAAGAAUCUGCCUGCCAAUGCAGGAGACACAGGUUCAAUCCCUGGUCAGGGAA